rnacentral:tRNA from 1 species
UGGGGCGUGGCCAAGCGGUAAGGCAGCGGGUUUUGGUCCCGCGAUCCCAGGUUCGAAUCCUGGCGCCCCAACCA